rnacentral:lncRNA from 1 species
CCUGCCUCAGCCUCCCGAGUAGCUGGGACUACAGGCGCCCGCGACUACGCCCGGCUAAUUUUUUGUAUUUUUAGUAGAGACGGGGUUUCACCGUGUUAGCCAGGAUGGUCUUCGUCUCCUGACCUCGUGAUCCGCCCGCCUCGGUCCCCUAAAGUGCUGGGAUUACAGGCAUACACUCUUAAGUAACCUGGUGGGGACCCAUCAAACUACAAAGGGUUAUAGCUACUCUUACAGAAGACAUAAGAAGAUAUAUACGCAGAGAAGACAUCAUAAGACCUGAAGAUGAAAAACUUCUGAUCACAGAAGAAAGAUAUACAACAGCCUUGAAGCAUUCUGAGAACCCAGUGAAGGCAAUAAUGUCUCUUCCCAGAGAAAUUCACAGGUAGCCCCUAGAAGCUUGGAACUGCCCUCAGACUACAGCCAGGAAGCAGACAGGGACUUCAGUUCCACAGCCACAAGGAGCUGAAUUCUGCCAACCAGAAUGAGCAAGAACAUGGAUUCUCCCCUCAAGCCUCCAGAAAAGAAUGCAGCCUACAGUCAGCACUUUAAGUCCCAUGCAACCUAUAAUAGAUUUCUGACCUACAGAGCUUUAAUGUCAUAAAUUGGUGUUGUUUUAAGUCAUGAAGUUUGUGGUAGCUUCUUAUGACAGUAAUUGAAAACUAAUACCUGGUCUUUUUAGCAGAAUAACGAGCACCCUGUAAUGUGUCAUUCAUGCAUAUCUUUUUUUUUUUUUUUUUUUUGGUGGGGGCAGGAAGACAAAACUCUAGAGUUUAAUCUUCCAGCUGACUGACUUGGAAGUGUUCCUGUCAAUAUAAAAGAUCUUGUUGGGGG